rnacentral:rRNA from 1 species
UACGUAGGGUGCAAGCGUUAAUCGGAAUUACUGGGCGUAAAGCGGUGCGCAGGCGGUGAUGUAAGACAGGAUGUGAAAUCCCCGGGGCUCAACCUGGGAACUGCAUUUGUGACUGCAUCGCUAGAGUACGGCAGAGGGGGAUGGAAUUCCGGCGUGUAGCAGUGAAAUGCGUAGAUAUGCGGAGGAACACCGAUGGCGAAGGCAGGUCUCUGGGCUGUAAC